UUUUUUUAUUAUACCACUUCUUUGUUUAAAUCUGAAUGCCCAAACCCGUCCUCGCGACCUUCAUCACCGACCCGUCCCCGUCUCCGUCCCCGUCCCCGGUCGCGGGUUUCAGUUUUCUCCCAGCCCUGUCCCCAUCGGGUUUUUCAUCCCCGUCAGGGAACCCAAACCCACUAGCAUUUCAGCACCAAACCAAAGUUGCAGGAGCAACUUGAAUGAAAAACAACCAGUUUCAGCACCAAGAUAAGACAAAACAUUAUAAUUUAGGCACCAUUUCACACAUAUAACAAUAUCAUAUACUAGUUCUCACAUAUA
rnacentral:lncRNA from 1 species